rnacentral:rRNA from 1 species
UACGGAGGGGGCGAGCGUUAUUCGGAAUUAUUGGGCGUAAAGGGCGCGUAGGCGGCCCUGCAAGUCAAAGGUGAAAUCCCUCGGCUCAACUGAGGAACUGCCUUUGAAACUGCAGGGCUUGAGUCCGGGAGGGGGUAGCGGAAUUCCCAGUGUAGCGGUGGAAAUGGCGUAGAUAUUGGGAGGAACACCAGUGGCGAAGGCGGCUACCUGGACCGGAACUGACGCUGAUGCGCGAAAGCGUGGGUAGCAAACAGG